UACGUAGGGGCCUAGCGUUGUCCGGAUUUAUUGGGCGUAAAGAGCUCGUAGGCGGUUCGGUAAGUCAGGUGUGAAAUCUCCACGCUCAACGUGGAGGGGCCACCUGAUACUGCCGUGACUCGAGUCCGGUAGGGGAGUGUGGAAUUCCCGGUGUAGCGGUGAAAUGCGCAGAUAUCGAGAGGAACACCUGCGGCGAAGGCGGGUUGCUGGGCUGACACUGACGCUGAUGCGCGAAAGCCAGGGGAGCGAACGGG
rnacentral:rRNA from 1 species